UACGGAGGGUGCGAGCGUUAAUCGGAAUUACUGGGCGUAAAGGGCGCGUAGGCGGCUGAUCAAGUCAGGUGUGAAAGCCCACGGCUUAACCGUGUGAAGUGCAUCUGAAACUGGUCGGCUUGAGUAUCGGAGAGGAAAGUGGAAUUCCCGGUGUAGAGGUGAAAUCCGUAGAUAUCAGGAGGAACACCGGUGGCGAAGGCGGCCACCUGGACAGGUACUGACGCUGAGGUACGAAAGCGUGGGGAGCAAACAGGAUUAGAAACCCCAGUAGU
rnacentral:rRNA from 1 species